rnacentral:rRNA from 1 species
UACGGGAGGCAGCAGUGGGGAAUAUUGCACAAUGGGCGCAAGCCUGAUGCAGCCAUGCCGCGUGUAUGAAGAAGGCCUUCGGGUUGUAAAGUACUUUCAGCGGGGAGGAAGGCGAUGCGGUUAAUAACCGCGUCGAUUGACGUUACCCGCAGAAGAAGCACCGGCUAACUCCGUGCCAGCAGCCGCGGUAAUACGGAGGGUGCAAGCGUUAAUCGGAAUUACUGGGCGUAAAGCGCACGCAGGCGGUCUGUUAAGUCAGAUGUGAAAUCCCCGGGCUUAACCUGGGAACUGCAUUUUGAAACUGGCAGGCUUGAGUCUUGUAGAGGGGGUAGAAUUCCAGGUGUAGCGGUGAAAUGCGUAGAGAUCUGGAGGAAUCCGGUGGCGAAGGCGGCCCCUGGGACAAAGCUGACGCUCAGGUGCGAAAGCGUGGGGAGCAAACGAGGAUUAGAUACC